rnacentral:miRNA from 1 species
GCUCCUUCCCAACACCAGGGU